UACGAAGGGGGCUAGCGUUGCUCGGAAUUACUGGGCGUAAAGCGCACGUAGGCGGUCUUUUAAGUCGGGGGUGAAAUCCUGGAGCUCAACUCCAGAACUGCCUUCGAUACUGAGAGUCUCGAGUCCGGGAGAGGUGAGUGGAACUGCGAGUGUAGAGGUGAAAUUCGUAGAUAUUCGCAAGAACACCAGUGGCGAAGGCGGCUCACUGGCCCGGUACUGACGCUGAGGUGCGAAAGCGUGGGGAGCAAACAGG
rnacentral:rRNA from 1 species